UACAGAGGAUGCAAGCGUUAUCCGGAAUGAUUGGGCGUAAAGCGUCUGUAGGUGGCUUUUUAAGUCCGCCGUCAAAUCUCAGGGCUCAACUCUGGACAGGCGGUGGAAACUACCAAGCUGGAGUACGGUAGGGGCAGAGGGAAUUUCCGGUGGAGCGGUGAAAUGCGCAGAUAUCAGGAAGAACACCAAUGGCGAAGGCAGCUCUCUGGGCCGAUACUGACGCUGAGGAGCGAAAGCGUGGGGAGCGAACAGG
rnacentral:rRNA from 1 species